ACAAAGUAGUGUUAAUUUCAAUACGAAGUUUGCGUUAUUUUCAUUCAAUCAAGUAGAGUGUAAAGCGAAGCAGAUACCCUUCUGUCGAUAUUUCAUCAUCCAUUUAGGUUUCGCAACAUUUAACAAGAAUUUCUUUCAGGUGCUUGUGGUGUUAUUUAUUCUGCUUGCUGUUUUAGUUUCAUCGCAGCAAGUUUCAGCAUUCCCUAAAAAACACAAAAAAGGAUGGUCAUUUUGGCCAAAUGACAAAGCAUGGAAACGAUUCUUUGCUAAUUUUGGAUUUUGAAGAUUGAACAGAUGCCUACCUUUAAUAGAGAAUAUUCGAAUAAUCGAAGGUUUUUCUAAAUGAUUUAUAACUCAUUCAGCAACGUUUUUCAUGGUUUAAAAUGGAAUUGUAUAUACUUAUUAUGUUGUGUUAUAUUCUAGUAGAAAUUUCAUAUGAAUUUAGAUGCGACUUCAUAUUCCUGUAUAUGUUCAUUAUAUACAAUAAUUAUAGAUUUAGUCUGAGGAGUAUGUCAAAAUACAUUAUAUAAAAUUAA